rnacentral:lncRNA from 1 species
AGAGGUGGCAGACCAGGAAGAAACAGAGAUGGGAGGGGAGAGGAGGAGAGCCCCAGCCAGACAGAAGAGGUGGGGCUGGGAAAACAUGGGGACAAGACCCUUCUCCAAGACCCCUGAGCUCACUGUGCCCAGUGCUGAGCAAGGCAGAGGACGGGACCCCAGACAAGGACUGUCACAGGCACUGAGAGGCGGAGAGGUGGAGGGCUCCGGUCCCACCUAUCCAGUCCUCUUUUCGGGCUCUGGGUCAACACUCUCAGAACACACACCUGUGUCCCACUACCCAGGCAUCAUCCACAGCUACCGGGGACACUGCUCCUGACACUCCAGGGCGCCUUCACCCAGGGACUCACAGCCUCAUGGGAAACACAGUGGUGCUUCAUAUGUGUGGUCACAGUCACAAUAUGGAUCCAUUCAGAUGACGCAUAACACAGUCAAGGACACAAACACAUUCAUAUGACAAAGACAUAGGCUCCCCACACCAGAGUGACACCUCACUGUGGCUCUGUCACAUGAGGACUUUGUCACACAUGUGGUCUCUGUCAGACAUGGCCAUACACCAUUACACAGGCUCUCUGCCCUGGACCAUUGGGCACCCAGACAUACACUCCACCCUGACCUCAACCUGGACACUCACUGACACUCAUGCAUGCACCUUCCACUGCACACCUGACCCACUACUUGGGUGGGUGACCUAUCCUGGGGACAAUUUGGGGGAACUUUGUAAAUGCUGAGUUCAGUUCUCCACAUUUGAGCCAGGGAGAGCUGACAGAGGCCAGUCCCCAGUGGAGACUAGGAAGGCUGAAGC